rnacentral:lncRNA from 1 species
GGGAAGAGAACAAUGUAACUUAUCUUAUUAAGAAUUUAAAGACUGCUUUGUGACAGAUUGUGGGUCAGUUCUGAGAUGAUGGAAACAGGAAUAGGAUCAAUUGAGUAUAAUUCCAUCACCCAGACUUUUAUUCAAGUGGUGACAUCAGGUCUGAUUCUUUUGAUAUAAGCCAUUCUUCUGUUGGUGGCGCAGGUUACAGAAGUUUCACCUCAACAUGUCUCCCGAGUUUCCCUCCCAGAAAGCCCUCCAGACGAGAAUGGGAUGAGAUGAACAGUUUCUGUUGGUCCCAAUGGUGUGCCCAGUUUCUUUUCACAGCAAACAUAGGAUCAAUGCUCUGGACUUGACAGUGUCUGGAAGCGGCCAUGCAGGCACGUCC